UAGGGAAUAUUGGACAAUGGGGGCAACCCUGAUCCAGCCAUGCCGCGUGAGUGAAGAAGGCCCUCGGGUUGUAAAGCUCUUUUGUCCGGAAAGAAAAGCUUCGGGUUAAUACCCCGGGGUUCUGACGGUACCGGAAGAAUAAGCACCGGCUAACUUCGUGCCAGCAGCCGCGGUAAUACGAAGGGUGCAAGCGUUACUCGGAAUUACUGGGCGUAAAGCGUGCGUAGGUGGUUGUCUAAGUCUGAUGUGAAAGCCCUGGGCUCAACCUGGGAAUGGCAUUGGAAACUGGGCAGCUAGAGUGCGGUAGAGGGCAGUGGAAUUCCCGGUGUAGCAGUGAAAUGCGUAGAGAUCGGGAGGAACAUCUGUGGCGAAGGCGACUGCCUGGACCAGCACUGACACUGAGGCACGAAAGCGUGGGGAGCAAACA
rnacentral:rRNA from 1 species